rnacentral:tRNA from 1 species
GCGGGAAUAGCUCAGUGGUAGAGCACUAGCUUCCCAAGCUGGGGGUCGCGGGUUCGAGACCCGUUUCCCGCU